UACAGAGGGUGCGAGCGUUGUUCGGAAUUAUUGGGCGUAAAGCGCUUGUAGGCGGCACGUCAAGUCGCGUGUGAAAUCCCCAGGCUUAACCUGGGAAGUGCGCGCGAAACUGACGAGCUUGAGUGCCGGAGAGGGUCGCGGAAUUCCCGGUGUAGAGGUGAAAUUCGUAGAUAUCGGGAGGAACACCAGUGGCGAAGGCGGCGACCUGGACGGACACUGACGCUGAGACGCGAAAGCGUGGGGAGCAAACAGGG
rnacentral:rRNA from 1 species